rnacentral:rRNA from 1 species
GACGAACGCUGGCGGCGUGCUUAACACAUGCAAGUCGAACGAAGUGGCGAACGGGUGAGUAACGCGUAAUCAACCUGCCCUUCAGCGGGGGACAACAGUUUGAAACUACUGCUAAUACCGCAUACUGAAGGAGGGGCUUGCGUCUGUUUAGCUAGUUGGAGGGGUAACGGCCCACCAAGGCGAUGAUCAGUAGCGGGACGGAGAGGAUGAACGGCCACAUUGGGGCAGAGACACGGCCCAGACUCCGACGGGAGGCAGCAGUGGGGAAUCUUCCGGAAUGGACGAAAGUCUGACGGAGCAACGCCGCGGGAGUGAUGACGGCAUUCGGGUUGUAAAGCUCUGUUAAUCGGGACGCGGUACCGGAAUAGAAAGCCACGGCUAACUACGUGCCAGCAGCCGCGGUAAUAC